UACGUAGGUGGCAAGCGUUGUCCGGAUUUAUUGGGUUUAAAGGGUGCGUAGGCGGCCCUGUAAGUCAGUGCUGAAAUAUCCCAGCUUAACUGGGAGGGUGGCAUUGAUACUGCGGGGCUAGAGUACAGAUGAGGUAGGCGGAAUUGACGGUGUAGCGGUGAAAUGCGUAGAGAUGUGGAGGAACACCAGUGGCGAAGGCGGCUUUCUGGUCUGUAACUGACGCUGAGGCGCGAAAGCGUGGGGAGCAAACAGG
rnacentral:rRNA from 1 species